GAUGAACGCUGGCGGCGUGCCUAAUACAUGCAAGUCGAGCGAAUGGAUUAAGAGCUUGCUCUUAUGAAGUUAGCGGCGGACGGGUGAGUAACACGUGGGUAACCUGCCCAUAAGACUGGGAUAACUCCGGGAAACCGGGGCUAAGACCGGAUAACAUUUUGAACCUCAUGGUUCGAAACUGCAAGGCGGAUUCGGCUGUCACUUAUGGAUGGAACCGCGUCGCAUUAGCUAGUUGGUGAGGUAACGGCUCACCAAGGCAACGAUGCGUAGCCGACCUGAGAGGGUGAUCGGCCACACUGGGACUGAGACACGGCCCAGACUCCUACGGGAGGCAGCAGUAGGGAAUCUUCCGCAAUUGACGAAAGUCUGACGGAGCAACGCCGCGUGAGUGAUGAUGGCUUUCGGGUCGUAAAACUCUGUUGUUAGGGAAGAACAAGUGCUAGUUGAAUAAGCUGGCACCUUGACGGUACCUAACCAGAAAGCCACGGCUAACUACGUGCCAGCAGCCGCGGUAA
rnacentral:rRNA from 1 species